CGGGAAUCUUGGUGAGAGCCGAGAGUGCCUUCGGGAGCCUGGACACAGGUGCUGCAUGGCUGUCGUCAGCUCGUGUCGUGAGAUGUUGGGUUAAGUCCCGCAACGAGCGCAACCCUUGUCACUAGUUGCCAGCAUUUAGUUGGGCACUCUAGUGAGACUGCCGGUGACAAACCGGAGGAAGGUGGGGAUGACGUCAAGUCCUCAUGGCCCUUAUGGGUAGGGCUUCACACGUCAUACAAUGGUCGGUACAGAGGGUUGCCAAACCGCGAGGUGGAGCCAAUCCCUAAAAGCCGAUCGUAGUCCGGAUCGUAGUCUGCAACUCGACUACGUGAAGUCGGAAUCGCUAGUAAUCGCGGAUCAGCAUGUCGCGGUGAAUACGUUCCCGGGUCUU
rnacentral:rRNA from 1 species